rnacentral:lncRNA from 1 species
GGAUAGAAUGGGUCAAAUCUGCUGUCCAGAGUCUCAACCACAGCGAUUGCUAUGCUUGUGCCUCGGGACGACCGAUAGCCCGGAUGGUGCCCUGCCCAUUGGGGUGGACCGAGGACUCCCGAGGGAUGCGAUGUACGAUUGCAUUGUACCCAGAAAAGCCUGCCUGGGGAAAUGAGGCCUGGUGUGAGUGCUACCCAGCAUCUGGGAGAAUUUGCCUUGUGCACGAGGACCUUGAAUGCUACCAAGGACUUGAUGGGAAACUGCUCAAGACUUGAGAUCCCCAGGGCAGAUCUCUGGUGGUACUGUGGAGGGCAGAUCUUACGGUCCACCCUACCAUCUAAUUGGGGAGGUGCUUGUGCACUUGUUCAAUUAGCUAUACCCUUCGCCCUGGCAUUUGAAAGAGAAACAUCACAAAUACCCAGAAGAAGUAAAAGAAGCUUAGGAAUAUAAUUUGAUGAUAGAGUCUACAUAGAGUCUAUUGGGGUGCCUAGAGGAGUUCCCGAUGAACAGAAAGCCAGGAAUCAAAUUGCUGCAGGGUUUGAGUCACUGUUCUGGUGGGUAACAAUCAAUAAGAAUAUUUAUUAUAAUCAGCAGAUAUUCAUAAAUUAUACAAGGGAUGCGAUAAGAGGAAUUGCUGAGCAACUAGAUGCCACCAGCAAAAUGGCUUGGGAAAACAAUUUAGCAUCAGAUAUGAUGUUUGCGGAGAAAGGUGGUGUGUGUGUGUGAUACUGAGCAACCAUUGUUGUACUUUUAUCCCUAACAAUACUGCCCCGGAUGGCACAGUAACUAGAGCAUUGCAAGGGCUUACCACCCUUGCCAGUGAAUUGGCAGAAUAAUUAGGGACAGGCACUUCCAUCACAGGAUGUUUGGAAUCUUGGUUUGGUAAAUGGAAAGGGAUGGUAGUGUCCAUAUUUGCAUCCUUGAUCGUAGUAGCGGGAGUUUUGACAGCCAUUGGUUGUUGCAUUAUCCCCUGUGUAAGAGGACUAGUCCAGCGGUUAAUUGAAACUGCACUAUUGAAACAAAUGACCACAAAGCCACCACCUUACUCAGAUAAGGUGAUGAUAUUAGAGGAGAUGGAAAGCAAAGAAAGUGAAGAAGAGGAAGAUAUCUACCAAAUUACACCUUAGAGAAAAGUUUUGCAAAAAUCAACAAUUUAUAAAGAAGAAAAGGGGGGAAUUGUGGGAAUAAAAAUGUUGUUUUUGCAGAGUUGCA